AACGAACGCUGGCGGCAUGCCUAACACAUGCAAGUCGAACGAGACCUUCGGGUCUAGUGGCGAACGGGUGCGUAACGCGUGGGAACCUGCCCUUAGGUUCGGAAUAACUCCCCGAAAGGGGUUCUAAUACCGGAUAAUGUCUUCGGACCAAAGAUUUAUCGCCUUUGGAUGGGGCCGCGUUGGAUUAGCUAGUUGGUAGGGUAAAAGCCUACCAAGGCGACGAUCCAUAGCUGGUCUGAGAGGAUGAUCAGCCACACUGGGACUGAGACACGACCCAGACUCCUACGGGAGGCAGCAGUGGGGAAUAUUGGACAAUGGGCGAAAGCCUGAUCCAGCAAGGCCGCGUGAGUGAUGAAGGCCUUAGGGUUGUAAAGCUCUUUUACCCGGGAUGAUAAUGACAGUACCGGGAGAAUAAGCUCCGGCUAACUCCGUG
rnacentral:rRNA from 1 species